GCUUUGCUUCAGCAGCACGAUCAAUACUGGAGACUUCAGCUAGAGUGUUAACUCCAAUAUUUACGUGCUGCUACAGUAAGGC
rfam:Oreochromis niloticus linkage group LG16-21, whole genome shotgun sequence.